GAUGAACGCUGGCGGCGUGCUUAACACAUGCAAGUCGAACGGAAAGGCCCUGCUUUUGUGGGGUGCUCGAGUUGCGAACGGGUGAGUAACACGUGAGUAACCUGCCCUUUACUGUGGGAUAACUUCAGGAAACUGGGGCUAAUACCGGAUAGGAGCUCCUAUUGCAUGGUGGCGGUUGGAAAGUUUCGGCGGUUGGGGAUGGACUCGCGGCAUCGUUGCUUGUUGGUGGGGUUGUGGCUUACCCAGGCUUUGACGGAUAGCCGGCCUGAGCGGGUGACCGGGCACAUUGGGACUGGGAUACGGGCCAGACUGCUGCUGGGGGCAUGAGUGGCGAAUAUUACACAAUGGGCGGAGGACUUGUGCAGCAAAGCCGCGUGGGGGAGGACGGCUUUCGGGGUGGAACCCGUUUUCGACUGUAACGUGCCGCCAGUGACGGUAUCUGGGAAGGAAGCACCGGCUAACUACGUG
rnacentral:rRNA from 1 species